rnacentral:rRNA from 1 species
AGCGAACGCUGGCGGCAGGCUUAACACAUGCAAGUCGAGCGCCUGUAGCAAUACAGGAGCGGCAGACGGGUGAGUAACGCGUGGGAACGUACCCUUUGGUUCGGAACAACACAGGGAAACUUGUGCUAAUACCGGAUAAGCCCUUACGGGGAAAGAUUUAUCGCCGAAGGAUCGGCCCGCGUCUGAUUAGCUUGUUGGUGAGGUAACGGCUCACCAAGGCUACGAUCAGUAGCUGGUCUGAGAGGAUGAUCAGCCACACUGGGACUGAGACACGGCCCAGACUCCUACGGGAGGCAGCAGUGGGGAAUAUUGGACAAUGGGCGCAAGCCUGAUCCAGCCAUGCCGCGUGAGUGAUGAAGGCCCUAGGGUUGUAAAGCUCUUUCGGCGGGGAAGAUAAUGACGGUACCCGCAUAAGAAGCCCCGGCUAACUUCGUGCCAGCCGCCGCCGUAACAC